GCCCGGAUGGCUCAGUAGGUUAAGCGUCCGACUUCAGCUCAGGUCAUGAUCUCACAGUUCGUGGGUUCAAGCCCCGCAUCGGGCU
rnacentral:tRNA from 1 species